rnacentral:rRNA from 1 species
GGCGAUGAUGUCUAGGGGGUGUGAGAGCAUGGCCCCCACGACCGGAACUGAGAUACUGUCCGGACACCUACGGGUGGCUGCAGUCGAGAAUCUUCCGCAAUGGACGAAAGUCUGACGGAGCGACGCCGCGUGCGGGAUGAAGGCCCUUGGGUUGUAAACCGCUGUCAGGGGGGAUGAAAUCUCCGGAGGUCCUCCUCCGGAGUUGACAGAGCCCCAGAGGAAGCACGGGCUAAGUAUGUGCCAGCAGCCGCGGUAAUACAUACUGUGCGAACGUUAUUCGGAAUCACUGGGCUUAAAGGGUGCGUAGGCGGCGAUUCAAGUCAGAUGUGAAAUGCCUGAGCUCAACUGAGGCAUUGCGUUUGAAACUGGGUUGCUGGAGUGUUUCAGGGGUGUGCGGAACUGCCAGUGGAGCGGUGAAAUGUGUUGAUAUUGGCAGGAACACCGGAGGCGAAAGCGGCACACUGGGGAACAACUGACGCUGAGGCACGAAAGCCAGGGGAGCGAACGGGAUUAGAUACCCC